AGAGAGAGACAUGCGCGCAUAUCAAUAAGCGGAGGAAAAGAAACUAACUAGGAUUCCCUCAGUAACGGCGAGUGAAGCGGGAAGAGCUCAAAUUUGAAAUCUUCAAGGUUCUACCUUGACGAAUUGUAGUUUAAAGAAGUGUUUUCUGUUGGAGUUUUGGUAAAAGUUCUUUGGAAUAGGACAUCAUAGAGGGUGAGAAUCCCGUAUUUGACCAUUAUUUCCAGCUUUGUGAUACACUUUCAAAGAGUCGGAUUGUUUGGGAAUGCAGUCCAAAAUGGGUGGUAAAUUUCAUCUAAAGCUAAAUACUGGCGAGAGACCGAUAGCGAACAAGUACCGUGAGGGAAAGAUGAAAAGAACUUUGAAAAGAGAGUUAAACAGUACGUGAAAUUGUCAAAAGGGAAGCGUUUGACACCAGUGUUGUUUUCUCGAAAAUCAAUUAAAAAAGGCAGGAUUUUGUGUUGUAUUGACUUUAUCAGCUUUCUGCACUCUUUUCUUGUCUUUUUUAAUGCACUUUUCGUUUAACAAGUCAACAUCAAUUUCUUUUGUUGUAAAAAGGUCAUUGGAAGGUGGCUUUCUUUUCGGAGAAAGUGUUUAUAGCCUUUGACUCCUGCAAUCGGAGAGACUGAGGUCUGCAGCGUAGAUCCUUCGGGGUUAGAUACAUUUGUGCUAAGUUAUAGCCUUUCAUAGACAACUUGUUGACUAUGAUCAGUCAUGUAGCUUACUCGCUUAUGCUAUUUUACCUACGCUUAGGAUGUUGAUGUGAUACUGCGAGCA
rnacentral:rRNA from 1 species